CUGGGUGGGUGGUGUUAUAAGCACGUGUUUUGUUAGAUAUAUUUUUUCAGACACCAUCUUCAUGAACUGCUGAGCCAAACCUGAUCCAUCAGUGCUGGACUGCACAGAUAACUACAUGCCACAAGGAGACUGCUGUGUUAUGAAUUGCCAUACCAGUGUGUCUUCAAUGGAGAAGAUGACACACCCAUCACCUGACCUCCUGCCUGAUCUGGAGACCAUCAUCAUGCUACCACACUACACACCUCUGAGACCAUCAAUGAUGACUCAUACUGAGGAAACUGUAUUUCCUGUCAGAGAUGCUCAGUGAUCCUCAGAGCAGAGAGAGGUAUUGCUGUCUUCUGAGUUCUUCCGUGUCCCAACUGAGGCCUUCAAACCUCAUUGCAGAGCUCAUGUCUUUCCUCACCAUCAUGUGAGUGUGAGAUUGCUCUGGAUUCUGGUUAUGUGGCCCGCAGCACCUAUAAGAACAAGCUCGUCCAGUGUGCCUGCAUUCCAGCUUCUUAGACUCUACGCAAGUGGACAGAGUAUCAGUGUUUGGCCACUCUUACAGACACUGACUUCUGUCAAUUCACUUCUACUGAUCGGGCACCUCACUCCAGGAAGACAGAGGGCUGCAAGCCUGUCAUCAUUUCCAGUGUGGCUUUGUAUUCUUGGGGUAGCAUCAGAUUUUUCCCACAAAUAUUCAAAGAGGCAGUGGAGACUGUCAGAAAACGACUGCAAGAAG